UUCCACGAAGGGGAGUGAACCAAGAGCAGAGACCAAACAUGCUUCCGCUCUGAGCAUCCUUUAUGGAGAUCAAUUGGUUUCUCUAGUUUCCUUUUCAUAAUUUCCUUCCACUAAAUUUCAAAAAGCUUCUUCAAAAAGACAAAUGGUCUUGUUGACUUUGGAGAGGGGGAUGGACAUGACAUGGUACUUUGGUUAUUUUUUUCAUCUAUGUGUGGCUGGAGUGAGCACUGAUUUUUUUUUUUUUUUAAAGGAGUCUUUUAGAGAUCCAUACAGAAGUUUCUAGAGAUGAAAUCCUAGCAUAUCUUGGAGUCACUUCAAAAUACUCCAGCCUGGGAGUGGGAGGAGACAUGGGUGGCCACACAAGAUUGGCCCAGAUUGAUAACUGUUGAAACUGAGUGACGGGGACACGAGAGUUCACGCCACUCCUCUCUCAACUCUUGUAUAUCUGGAUUGAAAUGUUCCAUAAUAAAAGCCAGUUGUCUGAUGGGGUUGUUAGCAAAAAGCAGAAGCCAUCGUGGGCUGCAUGCGUGGAUGGGAAAGUUCAGGAUGAGGGCGAGGGUGGCCUGAGGGACCCCACCUGGAGGGUUGUGCUCCGUUAUGGGCCUUGGAGAGGCUGAAGCAGGGCUAGAGGCGGCCGCGAUUAAGGGACGCAGAAGCUUGACUCAUGUGUCUCAGCUGGAGAACCGGGGAGCCCAGCCAAGAGAGGAGGGACUUGCUAGGGGCUGGAGGAGCUGCUCUCACCCACAAGGAGGGCUGUCCGUGAAAAGGGGGUCUGCGCCUUGGGGGUCUGGGUCCACAGACGCCCUCCACAGGCUCUGCCCGCGGGCCCCUGCCACAUCUCUCCCCAGAGCUUCGCCUGCCCUCUCCCAGACCCAGCUCGGGCCGGGAGGAAACAGUCUGACCUGGCUGGCCAAGUGUGAGGCUCUGCCAGGCCUGUAAGUCAUGAACAACAUGAGUCCACUCCCCUCCGUUGGCCUGAAACAUCCUGUUUUCUACAUGUCGGCAAUGAGGUCUAACUUGGCUCCAAAACCCCUCCAGGGAGAAGGAUUGGCCGAGGUUGCUCUCCACAUCACACAGCACUAAUCCCUCACAUCUGGACAGAGCUGAGGCCUGAGCCCCGCCGCACAAGUGUCCGUGAGCUCAUCGGGUCUGCUGAGAGGCCUCAUAAAUUAGCUACAAGGACAGAACGGGCGUGAGUCAAGGACAAGUUCUUUCUUGGACCAGAAGUUCCCACAAGUCACGAGCUGGAUGUUCCCUGUCUUUGAGCGCCUCAGACGGAAGGCCCGGGCCGAAUACUACUUGCAAACAAUUACAUGAAGAACUCCAGUAAUGUGCAACUGCUCCGGCUAAGUCGAGAGAGAGAACCUCGAGCCCCCAACAAAGAGCUCAGAUUCUGAGGCACGUCUGGGUUUGGUUUGGGGACAGACAUGUCCUCCUGUUCUCCUUGGAUCUGAGUCUUGCUGGUCCCUCUGAGAGCACAUCAGUGUCAUUCCAGUACAUUUAGUAUCUGAUUACGCAGGCAAGCUAGGCUACUACCCCAAAGGGCACCCUGAACUUUACAAGAGGUUUUUUUUUUUUUUUUUCCUCAUGUAUGAGUUCAGAGGUAAACUGCAAAAGCCCACAAGGCAGGGAAGGUCUAAGAAGCCAUCCAGAAUAAAGCUCUCUCUGCACACUCUGAAAAGCGCACCAAGGCUGGGUGUCAGAGACGCAGUCCAACUCUGGGCUUACUGACAGGGCUCUUUGCCUCCCCUGCAGAGAGUGAGGGAUCUUCCCUGCUAGGUCUACUUUGCAGGAUUGCUGUGCUGAUUCAAGGAAAUAGUGCACUUGAAGAUGCCUUGCAAUUGCCAAGUGACAUGCAAAGGCCCUGGGGGGCAUCCACCAGGGUAGCAGAAGAUGGAGCAAGGCAAGAAUUUAUUCCCAAGGGCUCUGCCUCUCCACAUGCAGCCAGCGCUCUGCUGGAUCACUUCGACUAGCUCUCACGAUGGAAAGGCAUCUAUUCUAGGAAUAGAUGAAGAUCCUCUACAAGGAUCCAAGGGACGUUUGGGAGGAAUUCUCCAAAAAGGACACAGAGGGCUCAGUGCUGAACUGCCUCUCUGCACUCUUUUAGAAGCCAGUCCCACUCACCGGACUCUGUUUCUUCACCUUUACAACGGGCAGAACCAUACUUUGCACUGGAAGCUACUAUGGAUUAGUGAUCGCUCACGAUGCACCAAGCUUUCUGCUGAGUGCUUACGUACAGUAUCUCAUCAGAUUCUGUCAAGAGCUUAGAACUCUUACCUCCCUUUCUUACAGAUUAGAAAACUAAAGAUCAAAGAGAUUGAAUAACAUGCUGGAAGUUACAUAGCUAGUAAGCAGGAGGCACAGGAUGUGUAUCCUACCUGCCUCAUUCCGCCUAUACUGCGCACGUGAGUAUACUGUGCAGUGAUGUGAGCUUUUGUAAGUUAAGGGCCUCCUAUCUUGGGGUCUCAGCUGCCUCCUCUGCAACAGGGAGAAACUGAGCAUGUCUGACUCCACAUUGCUUCCAUUUCUCUGCCGCUGUGACCUACAGCUUAGAAACUUCUGCUUUGCCCUGCACGUGGGAAUGUUAGUCAUUAAAGAAAUUUUGCUACAACUGAGAUUUACAAAAACUGCUUUCUUACCCGAAACCUAUCUCACUGGAGGAGGUACAGAAGUGCAUACAGAGUUGACUAUGUUAAGAUUUACAGGAACAACAUGACCAGAUUCUUACACACAAAUAUCAACUGAGCAGGGACAAAGAAGUUACAUGACCUUUUCCCCUUUCCUUAUUCUUUUCUUUCCUUUUUUUCU